AAUAAUCAACUUCUGAACUUUUAGUGUGGAGAGGACCUGAAAAGAUGAGACCACAAAUUUAACUGUUGGUCUGCAGUCCAAUAUUGACGACCAAAAUACGAAGAACAUAAUCAACAUGCAACGAAAGCAGAUGCAUGGGAUAGCUGGAAAAGAUGUUGAAGCAAGAUCAAGGACAUAAAAUGGGCUAGAUUGCAUACUGUGGUUGAUUGACUUCUGUCACAUGGCUCCUUAAUGGUUGCAUUUAUGCACGAGAUUUAGGGGCAUGUGCACUCAACAAUUUCAGAUAAUCAAGCAGCAGAUGGAGCUCAAAAGGGAAUAACUGUUCCUAGAAACAAGGAACAGAUGCAAAUAAAGUACUAAAGUACACUGAUCUGCUCACAAAGAGCUACAAGACAGCCAUAAACAUUUUCGCUAAUAAGUAAAGGAACUUUUUCAAUUACAGGAGUGUCCUGGCCAACUUGUACGCAGCUUGUCUGAUCCACCAAGUACCUGUUGCCUCCCACAAGCAUAGGUACCGAUAAUAACUCAAACCAUCAAGACUUAGAAGGGAAGAAAUCACCUAGUGCUUUUAGCCUGAGACCUCAUGGUUCUCCGCCUGCUUCAUUGACCACUAUGCUAUACACUUGGGUGCUUAAGAAUUUCAUCAUAACUUAAGUUCUUACAAGUGUCUUUUUCUUUUUGAACUUGGAGCAGAGUCAUCGUCUUCUCUUUUCUUUUAGCAACUCAACAGGAUUGUACUUUUUCCUUCCAUUUUUAACCAGUUUGUUUGGUUCAGUUAUUGUAAAUAUCACAUGGAUGUGAUAAAAGUGAAACCAAUCAUUGGAACUACAUAUCUUGUAGAUCAGUUAUAUAGCUUUGCAAGAUGAUCUGAAAAGACAUUGCUUCCUCCAUUUCUGUAACCUGGUUCUUUCUAUAUUUCUAUUUUAUCAUUGGACUAUGGUGGUUUCUCAAAUGGAAAUGUUAGUAUCAAUCUCUAUCAUUUCGGCCUUUCCCCACAACCAAGCUCUGUUCUUUAUUGUUUGUCUUCCAUAUCCUCAGUAGUUUUAAAAGUCUAAGGAAUUUCCUAGGACAAAGGACACUUUAACAUUCUUGCACAAAGGAAAACAAGAAAUUCAUACAUUUAAAAUGUGAGGAAACUACCCUAUAACCAAGUAUAGACAAAAAGAAAAGAUGACAUAAAGUUCAUACUUACCACCACAAAAAAAAAAACAAUGCAGGAAGGCACAGUACUAAUUAAGAGGGGAAACACAAAAAAAAACAUAUUCUACAUACUUGUACACCCAGACAGCUUUGAUGAAAAGUCGAAG